UACGUAGGUGGCGAGCGUUGUCCGGAUUUACUGGGCGUAAAGGGCGUGCAGGCGGUCUGUUAAGUCUAGGGUGAAAGCUCCCGGCUCAACUGGGAGAGGUCCUUGGAUACUGGCGGACUUGAGGGAGGCAGAGGAAAGUGGAAUUCCCGGUGUAGUGGUGAUAUGCGUAGAUAUCGGGAGGAACACCAGUGGCGAAGGCGACUACCUGGCCUGUUCUUGACGCUGAGGCGCGAAAGCUAGGGGAGCAAACGGG
rnacentral:rRNA from 1 species